CUCUCUCAUUCGCUUCCCCAACACUCUACCUACUCCCUCAUUCUCUCUCCUCUUAUACCCCAUUCCUACGACAAUACCCUUAUCUCCUAUUUCUAUUUUAUAAUUAUUUUUACAUUUUUUUUCUUUAUUUUUCUUCUUCUUUCUUCUCCCUACAGCCCUUCCCACUCAUAAUACACCAAAGAUAAAAAUAUCGGUAAUCACUCAAAUAUCGGUACUUGAAUUUUACGGAUAUAUCGAAUAUAUCGACGGAUAUUGUAACACAAAAUAUCGAUAGACCAAAAAUUCAUCAAAACUUAUGAAAAUAUAAGAAAAAAUUCUUAAAAAUGAAAUUAGAAGUAUAAUAGACAUUUUAAAGUUAUUUUGUUGAAGAAAUUAAUAUAUGUAUGAUAUGAUUUGCGAUGUUAAAUUUAAUUAUAUAGUGUCGGCUAAUAAGAAAUGUGAAUUUUGUAAGUGUUGACUCAUUAUGAAGUUAACUUAUUACAAAUAUACUAAUUAUGUAAUUUAAAUAUAUUAUUAUGUUAAAU
rnacentral:lncRNA from 1 species